GUAGGCUAUAUAGUACUAUAGCUACUUAGUCUUUAAAAAAAAAGAGCAAGCUUUGAGGAUUGAAUUGUAAUUAGUUUUGUUUUGUUUAAAAUGGUAAGAUUUAGAAGUUGAGCGGAAGAGCAUAAUAGAAAAGUCUCCUCGUGUCACCAGUGAACGAAGAUGCACCAGAUAACAAUAAUCUAUUUUAUUUUCUUUCAUGGAUAAAAAUCAUAAAAGUGGCGUUUUGCAUGUGAUGUGACGAUAUAAACCUACCAACAAAUGUUGAAUGAUUGAAGAAGAAACACGCGGGGCUUAAAGUAACUAGUUUUCUUGUCGUUAGCAAAAACAAGUGCUAAUAAAUAAUUAUCCUGUGACUUAUCGACACGUCUGCAAGAGAAAUGCACAGUUCUCAGUAUAGUUAAUUAGGCCUAGACCCUAUGUUGCCCCUUAUGCCAAGUUAACAGAGACUGGGCCUAGGCUACAGCUAUUUUUAUAUUCCCUCUUCGUUUGUCAUUUUAAUUUUGUUUUUAUAUAAAAGUUUGUGAUGGUUGAAGAAAGGAGAUCGAAAUAUUGAAAGCAGCGACUGAUAUUGCAUCUGAUUUAUGACAAAAACAAAAGACGACUUGGCAUUUGUGUAGACCUAUUUGAGCCGAAGUAAGAAAACAAACAAGAAAAAACGUUGUGACGUCACCAACUAGACGCGACCUCCCAUACUUUCUUUACACCGUUGAAAAAGAUUCAAAGUAAAUACUAAUAUUACUAUGAAUCGUCCAAUAGGCUGUGUGGAAUUUCGGAUGCCGAAUGUGUCUAACCACAGGCUGAUACGAGUCAGUUCUGCGCCGAUUUAUCCAUCUUAUUAUUAUUCAGAAUCGGCCCAAACCAAAAAGAAUUCGUAUCAUAAAAUUAGCAAAAACCUUUCCACCGAGGAGAUAAACAGACGGCAGGCGCGAAUUGAUCGGCAUGGUGAUCUGGUUGAUGAAAUAGUCGAUCGUGUAAGUCGACCAACGUUCACCACUAUGCGAAAACAUGUUGUGCGAAGUGACCCCUACAUAGACAUGAACUCUUACAACUGGAACAACAUGAAAUUGUACACGGAGUACAUUAGUAUCAUCUUUGAUGUAAAAGGAGGCAGGAACUGUUCCUACAAAAGAUGUAACAGUACUAGUGCUUUAACUGGUAGGGGGCAAAUGUUUCGUGCGUGUUUGAAGCGCAGAACGUGAACUUUAUAUUAUUAAAUAUUUCGGGGGAAGGGAAGUGGGUGCAUAGUUUUGAUUUGAUGUGACGUCAUUGAUCAGUUGUAUACCAAGCUGCAGGUUCUGUUCAUGUACGUGCUUUACUACCUAUAACGUAUGUGUGUAGGAGGUAAAUGACUCCUAUAAAAUAUAGCCGUCAAUUUAUGUUAGCCUGGGUUUUUGUCUUCUGUGAACGUUAACUUAAUUUUUUAUCUUUUGUAUUUUGAUAGCACUUGGCUAUGUUGUAAAUCAUGUUGAGUAUGUAAAGUAUACACCUUUUUAGUUGUUGGUUUAUUUAUUUUACAUGUAUGUAUGUAUAUAUGUACGUAUGUGUGUAGAAGGUAAAUGACUCCUAUCAAAUAUAGCCGUCAAUUUAUGUUAGCCUGGGUUUUGUCUUCUGCGAACGUUAACUUAAUUUUUUAUCUUUUGUAUUUUGAUAGCACUUGGCUAUGUUGUAAAUCAUGUUGAGUAUGUAAAGUAUACAUCUUUUUAGUUGUUGGUUUAUUUAUUUUACAUGUAUGUAUGUAUAUAUGUACGUAUGUGUGUAGAAGGUAAACGACUCCUAUCAAAUAUAGCCGUCAAUUUAUGUUAGCCUGGUUUUUGUCUUCUGUGAACGUUAACUUAAGUUUUUUAUCUCCUGUAUUUUAAUAGCACUUGGCUAUGUUGUAAAUCAUGUUGAAUAUGUAAAGAAUACACCUUU
rnacentral:lncRNA from 1 species